rnacentral:rRNA from 1 species
AGAGUUUGAUCCUGGCUCAGGAUGAACGCUGGCGGCAGGCCUAAUACAUGCAAGUCGAACGGGAUCCGGUGUAGCAAUACACUGGUGAGAGUGGCGCACGGGUGCGUAACACGUAUGCAACCUACCUUUAACAGGUACAUAAUAGCGCGAAAGCGGUGCUAAUAUACCAUGUGGUUAUCGAGUGGCAUCAUUUGAUAAUUAAAGAUUUAUUGGUUAAAGAUGGGCAUGCGUCCCAUUAGCUAGUUGGUGAGGUAAAGGCUCACCAAGGCUAUGAUGGGUAGGGGUUCUGAGAGGAUAUACCCCCACACUGGUACUGAGACACGGACCAGACUCCUACGGGAGGCAGCAGUAAGGAAUAUUGGUCAAUGGGCGAGAGCCUGAACCAGCCAUGCCGCGUGCAGGAAGACGGCCCUAUGGGUUGUAAACUGCUUUUGUCAGGGGAUAAACCUACCGACGAGUCGGUAGCUGAAGGUACCUGAAGAAUAAGGAUCGGCUAACUCCGUGCCAGCCGCCGCGGU